rnacentral:rRNA from 1 species
UACGUAGGGUGCAAGCGUUGUCCGGAAUUAUUGGGCGUAAAGAGCUCGUAGGCGGUUUGUUGCGUCGGCUGUGAAAUCCCGAGGCUCAACCUCGGGUCUGCAGUCGAUACGAGCAAACUAGAGUGUUGCAGGGGAGACUGGAAUUCCUGGUGUAGCGGUGAAAUGCGCAGAUAUCGUGAGGAAGACCAGUGGCGAAGGCGAAUCUCUGGACAGUUACUGACGCUGAGGCACGAAGGCCAGGGGAGCAAACGGG